AGGGCAGGAGCAGGGCCGGGAAGGGCCUGGCAAGCCCACUGCGGGGGGUGGGUGGGCAGGAUUGUCAGAGGAUGGCCACUGUGGCAGAAGCCUCAGAAGAUCAGACGCUUCCAGAGUCUGGACGAGCCGCCUUCCCGGCCGGUGCUUCCCGGCUCUCUGCCCCCUGGGGAACCCACCAAGAACUCCGGCAGGCGCAAAGGCAGCGGUGCAGGAGGAACCAGGGUUGUGAGGCUGCUAACGCCAGAGCUCGCCUGUUUCUGUAGCAACCUGGAGCUGCGACUCGCUUCUGGAGGGGACGCAGCAGCAGCAGCAGCAUUUUCAGCUUCAUCAUCGUCUCCUUCACCUCCAUCUUUGUCUUUGCUGAGUCCUCCCUCUGCACUGGGGAUGCCCAGCCCAUUCCAAGCACAGCAGCUUCUAUCCUCGCAGGAGCCCCGGGAGACAGUCUCCGUCAACCUUGUCACUGGAGGGAAAGCGGGGGUGCCCAGAGGAACAGGAAGUGGCCACCACAGCCAGGAGCAGGCUGCAGGCCGGGCCCAUCCCAGGUCCCGCACCUCCCCUUCCAAGGUUCCUGCCUGGCCCCAGGGGCAUUAGUGCUCAGGAGUGUUGGCACUCACUGCCCGGUGCUCCCCAGGCCCCCAGCCCUCUUGCCUCUGCCCCUCAGUGCUUCCAGCACCCUGAGCAGCCCCUCACCACCCGCGGGUCCCUGCAGCAGCUCUGCUGCCUUCUCCUGGCACCCGGGCCCUUCUGCCCCCGCCCCUCCAGGGAGAGAAGCUCAGUGGGUCACAUUUGCUGCACCCGCGACUCCGUGUCUGCCUCCAUCUCCCUCCUAGCCUGGCGAGCCCUCCCAGGCCCACUCACUACACUCCCACCAGGCCUGUUGGAGGUUCCUGGGUUGGUUUUUAUCAAAACCAUUAAUGAUUUCAAAUACUCUAAAGAGGGCCAUCUUCUCCUGCCUCCACCACAGCCACUUAGAUCCACUGUGGCUCACUGAGAUUUGGCAGAGACUUCGGUUGUCAUGGUGUGGGUGUGGCCGGCCCCCCUGCUGGGACGGUGCCGACCCGGUCAGGGCAAGCAUGGCCCCCAGGAGGGGUCUGUCUGGUGAAUGAUAUAGAAAUGGAUGAGCAGAGAGGCAGUCUGAUUUUUUUUAAAACAAAAUUAUUUGAUGAUUGUACAAACACUCUAUGUCCAAUAUGAGAAUUUUGCAAAAAUACAGAAGAGUGGAAAGUGAAAAGAAGAAAACCACAAGCCCCCAAACUCCCUAGAGAAAACUGCCAUGAACAUUUUGGGGUUAUUUCUUCUAUACAGGCUUCCAUAGUAUGCAUAGUUUUGUAUAUUACCUUUUGCACUUAACAUUUUCCAGUCCAUUAAAUGUCCAUUGAAAGCAUGAUUUUAAAAACCAUGUUAUUAUGGAAUUUCUCCAGGUGCUCACCCCCACUUCAACAAUCAUCAAUAUGUUGUCAGUCUUACAUUUGUCUAUUGUCACUCCUAUUUUUAUUUCUGCUUUUGGUGGAAUACCCUUAUGGGUUGAAUUG
rnacentral:lncRNA from 1 species